CUUUCUUUGUGGGAUCAUUAACAAUAGGUUAAUGAUUAAGAACACGUGCGACAGAGAUCAACAGCUCUGUGUUCAAGUCCAAACUCUUCCCCUCGGCAAGGUACGUGACCUCCCCGUGCCUCAGGGUCUUGCAGAGUGGAAAUGCCCACUUCGCAGAAUGGCUGUGGGUGUGGAUGAGACGAUGUAGUGGACGCUCCUGCCUGGCACCCAUGGGUGCUCCUGAAGAUUGUGUUUGCUGUUGGCUGCAAUAUGUUGUGACUUAUCAUGUGUGAUCCUUGAGUGAAGAGGCAGCUGCGAGCCUGAACUGACUCCUAUGAACUAGUCUUCUCCAGCAAUAGACCCUCCUUCAACUUAUGGUAGCCUGUACGCCAAGGGUGACAGACUGGAAAGCAGGAUCUACUGGGACAUCUAUGGGAAAAGGAGGGGGAAUGAGAUCAAGGAUUGAGGACGCUAAUGGUGGUUUAUUCCUGCAUAACUUAUCCAACCAUGGAGCCACAUUCAGUCAAGGGCAUUGUGACCUCUGUGGGGAAACAGAACAACCUGAACACCUGAUGCAAACUUUCUGGCCUGAAGGCAACUCCAGUGACUGACUUCCAACAGGUCUGUAAGGACAGCUUGUUUUGAAGUUGUGUCUGCUCCUAGCACAGGUCCUGCAAGGUCCGUUUUUCAAGGAAUGAAUUAUUUCCAUGUUUCUGAAUGGAAUGGAUAGCUAAACUUUCAUUUGGUUGGUAGUGAGGUAUAGGCGUGGAGAGAUGACAGUUGGCGAGAGAGUGAAGCAUGAGAGUUUAACAAAGGCCUGGGCGAUCUCAGAUUGCUGACCUUCAGGUGUAUUCUAUUGGGCACUAUGGAGGAUAUGAGAAUGGCCUCAGAUCUGUGACAGCAGGUGGCAUCGUUGAC
rnacentral:lncRNA from 10 species